rnacentral:rRNA from 1 species
CAGUAGCCACGGUAAUACAGAGGGUGCGAGCGUUAAUCGGAUUUACUGGGCGUAAAGCGUGCGUAGGCGGCUUUUUAAGUCGGAUGUGAAAUCCCUGAGCUUAACUUAGGAAUUGCAUUCGAUACUGGGAAGCUAGAGUAUGGGAGAGGAUGGUAGAAUUCCAGGUGUAGCGGUGAAAUGCGUAGAGAUCUGGAGGAAUACCGAUGGCGAAGGCAGCCAUCUGGCCUAAUACUGACGCUGAGGUACGAAAGCAUGGGGAGCAGACAGGAUUAGAUACCCCGGUAGUCCCUGUCUCUUAUAA